UGCUGAGCCAGAUGGAAUCUGCAGCAGCCCUGGCCAUGGGGGCUGAGCAGGCCUUCCGGAGAGCUAGGGAGUUCAAGGGCCUUGAGAACACCUAUUCAGCACAGUCAGGCUCAGGUGAAGGGCCUCAGAGUUUUGCAGAUGAGAACUUGGAGCCCUUGACACCCCAGCAGCUGGCAGCAUUCCAGGAUAUCUUCAGACUCUUAAGUUCCUGCCCUCAGGGCACAGUGGGCAUACGCAGCAUGAAAGCCGCUCUGGGCAAUGUGGGCAUCCAUCUGAGCCCCCAGGGGAUGUGUGAGGCUCUUCGGCAAGCCGAUUUGGAUGGUGAUGGAAUUGUAAACUUCAAAGACUUCCUGGGCGUUCUCACGGACAGCCAAUGUCUUGCUCAGUGCCUAGGCCAAGUGAGGCCAAGCCAGACCGGUGAUGCCCAAGGCCUGCAAAUUCUGUUCCUAGAGUUGGUGUUCAAGUUGAUAAGCCAUGGCUUCGUGUCCUCCAAGUCGGUACAGGAGGUGAUGAACUACUACUCCACAAGGCAGCGAGCUCUGCGACAGAUCCCAGGCUGGAAGGGCCGGCCCUGCGCGCCGCGCUCUCAGGUGGGCCUCACCUUCUUCUGCCAGGCGGCCCGCAUCAGUGGACUCUCCAGUAGCGAGCUGGUGCGAUCGCUGCACAGACUCUGCAAAACCGGUGUGCGCAGUCCCUACUCCCAGAUACCUAACCUGGAGGAGAGCACACGUCCAGAACUCAAGACGCGGAACCUAGCCCCACGCUCCGAAAUCCAACUCCCCAAGUCCUACCUACCCAGCCGCCCCAAACUCAAGCCCAAACCCACGUCGCGCCGCCCAGGUAAAGGGCAGGCGGAGCCCGGGCUAUCACACUCAAGUGAUUGAGUGGGCGGGGACUGGCGAAAGAGUGACAGCGGGAUUCAAACAGGACCCAGCAGGGGGUUGAUGGAACAGCCUCUGGAGUACUUGCGCUCCUCGAAGCUGGCCCCCUCCCCGCCAACGUUAGUACAGAAGCAGCCCUUCUCCCCACCGCCCGCCUAUGCACAGAAACCUGUUGUGAAGAACUUAUACAAGUAAAGCAUUUGUUGCCCA